AGCAGCCGCGGUAAUUCCAGCUCCAAUAGCGUAUAUUAAAGUUGCUGCAGUUAAAAAGCUCGUAGUUGAAUUUCGGGAUCAAUAUGUUGGUCGUGCCUCGGUACGUACUAGCUUAUUGGUUUCUCCCUUCUGACGAACCAUGAUGUCAUUUAUUUGGUGUUAUGGGAAAUCAGGACUGUUACUUUGAAAAAAUUAGAGUGUUUAAAGCAGGCUCACGCUUGAAUACAUUAGCAUGGAAUAAUGAAAUAGGACGUUUGAUUCUAUUUUGUUGGUUUCUAGGAUCGACGUAAUGAUUAAUAGGGAUAGUUGGGGGCAUUAGUAUUCAAUUGUCAGAGGUGAAAUUCUUGGAUUUAUUGAAGACUAACUACUGCGAAAGCAUUUGCCAAGGAUGUUUUCAUUAAUCAAGAACGAAAGUUAGGGGAUCGAAGACGAUCAGAUACCGUCGUAGUCUUAACCAUAAACUAUGCCGACUAGGGAUCGGAUGAUGUAAUUUUUAA
rnacentral:rRNA from 1 species